rnacentral:ribozyme from 16 species
UCAGAAUGAACAUGAGAUGACAUUGAAGGCAGAACUGAAAACAUAGAAACAGAUGCCAUUUUGAUAUGAAAUUUUUUUAGUAAAUAUGUUUAUUUUUAGUUUAGCUUCAAUUUUUUUUUGUU